rnacentral:rRNA from 1 species
UACGUAGGUGGCGAGCGUUAUCCGGAAUUACUGGGCGUAAAGCGCAAGCAGGCGGCAAUUUAAGUCUGACGUGAAAUCUCCUGGCUUAACUGGGAGAGGUCGUUGGAAACUGGAUUGCUUGAGGUGGUGAGAGGGGUGUGGAAUUCCCGGUGUAGUGGUGGAAUGCGUAGAUAUCGGGAGGAACACCAGAGGCGAAAGCGACACCCUGGCACUUGCCUGACGCUGAGAUGCGAAAGCGUGGGGAGCAAACGGG